rnacentral:rRNA from 1 species
AACAGAGGAUGCAAGCGUUAUCCGGAAUUAUUGGGCGUAAAGUGUCUGUAGGUGGCUUUUCAAGUCCGUCGUCAAAUCCCAGGGCUCAACCCUGGACAGGCGGUGGAAACUAUCAAGCUUGAAUAUCGUAGAGGUAGGGGGAAUUUGCGGUGGAGCGGUGAAAUGCGUUGAGAUCGGGAAGAACACCAACAGGCGAAAGCACUCUGCUGGGCCGUCACUGACACUCAGAGACGAAAGCUAGGGGAGCGAAUGGG